GAUGAACGCUGGCGGCGUGCCUAAUACAUGCAAGUCGAGCGAAGCGGGGACGGGUGAGUAACACGUAGGUAACCUCAUAUAAGACUGGGAUAACUUCGGGAAACCGGAGCUAAACCGGAAACUUAUGGAUGGAUACGCGCUGCAUUAGCUCGUUGGUAAGGUAACGGCCCACCAAGGCAACGAUGCAUAGCGGACCUGAGAGGGUGAUCAGCCCCCCCGGAACGGAGACACGGUCCAGACUACUAUCGUAGGCAGCAGAAGGGAAACUUCCGUAAUGGGCGAAAGCCUAACGGGGCACAGCCGCGUGAGUGAUAAAAGUCCUGCGAUCGUAAAACUCAGCUAUUAGUGAAGCGGUACCUAAUCAGUAAGCCACGGCUAACUCCGUGCCAGCAGCCGCGGUAAUUC
rnacentral:rRNA from 1 species